rnacentral:rRNA from 1 species
UACGUAGGGUGCAAGCGUUAAUCGGAAUUACUGGGCGUAAAGCGUGCGCAGGCGGCUAUGCAAGACAGAUGUGAAAUCCCCGGGCUCAACCUGGGAACUGCAUUUGUGACUGCAUGGCUAGAGUACGGCAGAGGGGGAUGGAAUUCCGCGUGUAGCAGUGAAAUGCGUAGAUAUGCGGAGGAACACCGAUGGCGAAGGCAAUCCCCUGGGCCUGUACUGACGCUCACGCACGAAAGCGUGGGGAGCAAACCGG